GACGAGGUGGCCGAGUGGUCAAAGGCGCCGGGUUGUUACCCCGGUCCCAGCAAUGGGUGCGCGAGUUCGAAUCUCGCCCUUGUCA